AUUGAACGCUGGCGGCAGGCCUAACACAUGCAAGUCGAACGAGUGGCGGACGGGUGAGUAAUGUCUGGGAAACUGCCCGAUGGAGGGGGAUAACUACUGGAAACGGUAGCUACUACCGCGUACGAUCUGAUGUGCCCAGAUGGGAUUGGCUAGUAGGGGGGGUAACGGCUCACCUCGGCGACGAUCCCUAGCUGGUCUGAGAGGAUGACCAGCCAAACGGAAAUGGAGAACCGGUCCAGACUCCUACGGGAGGCAGCAGUGGGGAAUAUUGAACAAUGGGCGCAAGCCUGAUGCAGCCAUGCGGGGUGUAUGAAGAAGGCCGUCGGGUUGUAAAGUACUUUAAGCGAGGAGGCGUUACUCGAAGAAGAAGCACCGGCUAACUCCGUGCCAGCAGCCGCGGUAAAC
rnacentral:rRNA from 1 species